UACAUAGGUGGCAAGCGUUAUCCGGAUUUACUGGGUGUAAAGGGCGUGUAGGCGGGGACGCAAGUCAGAUGUGAAAACCACGGGCUCAACCUGUGGCCUGCAUUUGAAACUGUGUUUCUUGAGUACUGGAGAGGCAGACGGAAUUCCUAGUGUAGCGGUGAAAUGCGUAGAUAUUAGGAGGAACACCAGUGGCGAAGGCGGUCUGCUGGACAGCAACUGACGCUGAGGCGCGAAAGCGUGGGGAGCAAACAGG
rnacentral:rRNA from 1 species